UUUUCUGAGUAAUGGAACAACUGUUCUAUCAUAGAUUGGUAACCAUAAGGUCAUGCUUAGCAUUAAGAAGACGGAAUAAGAUGCACCAGGAAUCUUGAAGUUGCUGUUUCCGAUUCUUCUAUUUGAUUGAAGGGCUUGAAACACAAGGAGAGUGUGUUGUUGAACAACUACUAGAGAGUACAAAAUGGCUGAAAACCAUAUUGCUGUCAAACAUACGAGGGAGGCAUUGCUGGUGAGCCUGGUUCGGAGGCUCAUGGUGGGUCUACCCAGGAGACAUAUAUGCUUUCGGACUUGUAGCUUGGACUGGAAAUGAUGUAUUAAAUAGGAGGUUGAGGCUACAAGCAGAAUCUAAAGGAUUUAGGCUUGAUGAUACAAGGUUGUUUCUAGCUACUCAGGGUUGAGGCCUUUUUAACUUUUUAUUAGAAAAUAGAUUAGAACGAUUGAGUCCUCAUUCGCUUGAUUUUGCAGGGCACAAAAGGUAAUGCAAGUUUGAAAUUGUCUACAGAAAAGGAGGUGUUUGAUUUCCUGGGAUUUCCUUGGCUUGAACCACAUCAAAGAAAUCUCUAAAUACAGGAAUAGUUUGGUUAGCCAGCUAGAAGUACAAUGUACAACACCCUUUUGUGAUGUUUGAAAGAGGUCUCUUGCUAGAUUUUUGCGCGCUCUGUUAUCCCUGCCUUGUAGACUACGGUGUGUAAAGCAGAAAGGGUUUCUCAUUGGGUGCUGCUUUGUAAAUUUUUAUAUGUAGGAAGGAUAGAGGUUGACAAUUCUAGUGUCAUCUUCCAAAUAUUGUGUACACAAAAAUAGCACAAUGAUGUGAAUGCUGUUUUUAUUUUUGGGAUUUGUUUAAAAUGUAUUAAGUGUUCACUGUUGUACUUAUUUUUUCACCUUGAUUUCUCUUUACCUGUGUCUAAUAAUAUACUUAUCA